AUUGAACGCUGGCGGAAUGCUUUACACAUGCAAGUCGAACGGCAGCACGGACUUCGGUCUGGUGGCGAGUGGCGAACGGGUGAGUAACAUAUCGGAACGUAUCCAAUAAUGGGGGAUAACGAGUCGAAAGAUUCGCUACUACCGCAUACGCCCUACGGGGGAAAGCUGGGGACCUUCGGGCCUGGCGUUAAUGGAGCGGCCGAUAUCUGAUUAGCUCGUUGGUGAGGUAAAGGCUCACCAAGGCGACGAUCAGUAGCUGGUCUGAGAGGACGACCAGCCACACUGGAACUGAGACACGGUCCAGACUCCUACGGGAGGCAGCAGUGGGGAAUUUUGGACAAUGGGCGCAAGCCUGAUCCAGCCAUUCCGCGUGAGUGAAGAAGGCCUUCGGGUUGUAAAGCUCUUUCGCAAGGGAAGAAAACUUAGCCACUAACAUUGGUUGAGGUUGACGGUACCUUGAUAAGAAGCACCGGCUAACUACGUGCCAGCCGCCGCCGUAA
rnacentral:rRNA from 1 species